rnacentral:tRNA from 1 species
GCAGCGUUGGUGUUUAACGGUCAGCACUCCGGUCUUCCAAAUCGGCGGUGCCGGUUCGAAUCCGGUACGUUGCUCCA